rnacentral:lncRNA from 1 species
GAGCUCCCAUGUUGAAUUUGCUCAUUAGCUAUUCCCCACCUCCACCCCCUCCAACCUUUGGCAAAAACUACUUCUUGGUUAACAUUUGAGAGAUUUCAAUAAAAGUUUUAAUUAGAGCAAAACUGAUCUCAAGCAGACUGCAGCGUUUUGUUUUCACGGUGAUGCGAUGCUGGAGCUAAGGUGUUAUCUCUGACUGAGAUUCUGGGCGAGCUGGGCGCGGGACACUAAGCCUCCGUGAUGUGGGAGAAGGAUGCAGGGCAGCGCAGGGAGACCCGGUCCCGUGUCUUUUCCUGGGCUCCUGAACCCUCAACAGUUGCCUGUUCGAAGAUUCUCGUUCUAGCAUCCAUUUGUGACACAUCUGCCAGGAGGUCUCGCUCCAGCGGGGAUGGAUGUGUUUUUUCCAGUCUGUCUGAUCCAGAAGGAGGAGGACCCAGGAGAGACAGGAACUGUCACAGAAAAGGAGCUACGUCAUAUUUCUGCUUCUCUCCAGCUUCCGUCUGUGGUCUGGUGCCAACAUCCUCUCCAGUGAAGGUGCUUAUUUUCAACAUCCAAUCCUUUUUUUUUUUUAAAGAAUAACUGGAUGAGGUGAUAGGACUGUAAGCCUCAGCGCUGCCUUGUCACUUUUAGAGACGGAAGAACAGCUCGGUGCAACAUCUGAAAAAACGUGCAUCCUGCUUACUUUCACUGUCAUUGGUAGUUGGCAAUGAUUCAAUAUAUUAUGUGAGUCACUAGGAGCAGGAGAUGAAGGUUUCGCUCAUGAGUUUUAGGAAACUUAUAACUCUGAAGAGAACUGACAAAUGUUCCUCUCACCUCCUCUUCCCACACCUCAGCUUUUUAAGUCUAGGUUCAUUUUUGCCUUUAGUCUGGUUGCUGAUGGGGCUGAGAGAAAGUCAAUAGAAUGAAAUGUCCUUGCUCCAUUCUAGAAACAAUACUGUUUACCCCGACCAGAGUCACAGGGUUGCGUCAGAACCUUUGGCAGGUAACGAGAGCCGAGAGCCAGUCCUGACUACCUGCUUCAUCCUCAGAGGCCUCGUCUACCCUGAGUAACAGCAGGGCUGCUCUGUGGCUUCUGACUGCAACACAUCACCUGCACGAAAACACAAGGUUUUAAAAUCAUGACCCAGACUUCGGGCAAGACAGCCCCCUUGGGAGAGCCUUGCGACUCGGAAAAAUUUAAAGGUUAAACUGCAAACAAAUGGAUCGUGGGAGAAAGGGAAGAGAGAUCCCAGCGGAGAGGUAGCCCUAGGAUGGGGCGUGGGUGACCUACCUGCACCCCCACCCCCACAUGCAGGCAGUCACUCAGCAGCACUGAGCAGCUUCGGAGAACUGCGUUUGUAAACUUUCUUUUAGAAGCAAAUCUCAUUAAGCAUCUCCUCGGUCAUUGAGUCCAUCCAUAGAGAAUAAAGAAGACACAAGGACCCUGAGAGGAGGCAUCCUGAGGGAGGCUGGGGGCAGAUGUGAGUGUGGACGGAGCGCCGGUGGCGGGGCAGCCAAGCUUCCCACACAGGCAGGACUCUGGAUGUUCCGCUUCUCCCUCCUGCCCAGAGGGCAGUAGCCAGCGCUGUGACAGGGCCCAGGGCCCUAGUGGGACUGGGAACAAAGCCCAGUCCCUCACUAGCCAACCAGCCCCUCCGAGGUAAGGGAGGGGGCUGGGAGACCAGGCACUGCUUCGCCUCUGUUCUUAACCCUGACCUUGUUCUCGAAGCCUGGCUUUCCCAAACAUGGACUGUCUGCCUGCAGCCCAGGGCUCGCGCCUCUCCAGGAGACCAGGACUUUGAAGGACUAUGGCCUUGCCUUGGAAGCUAUUCAGCUCAAGGCUUUGAAUUGUUUUCAGGCCUAAAUGAGACUAUUAAUCCUCUGACAUUUACCUUUCUCGAUAAACCUGCAGCUCUAUGAAGGUCAGAGUGUGAGGAGAAACCACCCCUUCAUUUUUCAUUGCCCAAAGGCACCAGCCUUGUCUGAGUCCCUAUUUUGUUUGGCUUUCUGGUCACCUGGAAGCAUCUGGCUGGACUCCCAUAGGAGACGGGGGCAGGCAGGGCAGGCAGCCUGCUGUGAGCACAGGCCCCCUUUCCUUCCCCAGCCCCCUCCCUCCCCACCUUUUUCCCACCAGCCUCACUGGGCCAGACCUGGCCUGGGACUUGAGCAGGCUGGGACUGGGCAGACACAGGCUCUGCCAUUUACAAGCUGUGUGACCUUGACUGAACAAGCACUUCCCUAACCUAAAGGGGGGGCUAAUAAUCCCUCAUGUAAAAUGCUUAAAAGUGCCUGGCAUACAGUGAGGCCUAUUAGUGUGUUAGCCUUUUAAGGAACAUUUGUAUCUUCAAAGAGAAGAAAGCCUGGGACUAGCUACCCACAAGGCUGAGACAGUUCAAACACGAAGAGCAUCUGGCACGUCUUGACAUUAAUGGGGCUGCAGAGUCCUCACAGCUGGACCCAAAUCAAGGGCUGAAAAGACUGAGUGAGGAGCAGGUGAGCAAGGUGAGGCGUCAAAGGACAUCACUGAGUAACGGCACCUGCCUGGCCCCUGGCAGCGUGGGCUCUGCAGCCUGUGUCAGUGCUGGGCGAACAUGUCACCUGUAGGAAGUUUCCCCCACAGCCAGGCCCGGAUAUGCCUCUCAGAAGAAAACCAGUCCCCGGCAGGAAAUAGAUCAAGAGUGGAAAACAGCUGAAUUCCCAGAGAGACCAAGGGGUUCAAGUGUGUUGUCCCUGAAUUCUCCAGCUGCCAGUGACCCAGCCUCUUCCCCUCUGGGCCUUCUAGCUCCUUCUUCCGCUAGGAUCCUGCCGUUUCCAGGCAGUGGGGUUCCAUUUUGUGCUUGGGGGGAGGGUGGAGAGAGAUUAUUCUCUUCAUAGUCCUGUGGCCGAACCGCAGGGGAGCCAGCGCCCCACCAAGCAAACACUCCCUUUUUACCUUCUCUGUCCCACCAGUCCUGUCCCUUCCCCUUCCCUCCUCUGCUCUUUGGUAUUUGGAGAGCUAAGGAGCCUCUUAAUAAGGCCAAGACACAAACCUUAGCCCUGCCCUCACUAGGCCUCUCAGAAGCUGCCCCAAACCAUUGUUACAGAGUUGUUGGGGAUAAUUGUUCCUCUGAAAGCCAGAGCUGUGGUGCCCAUCCUGGGCAACUUUCAGCUGCAGCCCCGGGUCAAACUCACCAACCAUUGCUGAACCUGAGGAACAGCUUGGGGGAAGGGGGGAGACCACUGCAGGACCGCCUUCAUUUAGUGCCCUGUGUUUUCCGGGUUUCUGAACCUUGUUCCACUUUCUUCUGUGAAUGGCUAAACUCUCUAGAUCCUUCAUCUGCCCUCUGGUUGACAGGAUGGUGCAGAGGGCCUGGCACAUGAUCAGACUCUGUAUUUGAAAUCGAACAGGCUGGUUUUAAUGACAAUUUCCGUCCAUUCUGCUGACUCCAGAAUCUUAGGCAAAUUUUCAGUAACCUCACAGAGCUUCAGUUUCCUCAUCUGUAAGGAGGAAGAAUGAACUCUUUUCACGGGCUGGUUUGAGGGCAAGAAUGAAAUGCUUGGCCUAGAGUAGUAAUUACUAUUAAAACAGCUCUGCUGUUUCCUCUUUUGGGGUCACAACUUCCUUGGGCAUGGCCCAAAGCUCCCCCUUUGCAGCUUAACAAGCAGUCAGGAUGCAGGGACUCGGGACUGGUUACCCGCCAAGAGAAAAAGGGUCCAGGCUUUAUUCUUUGGUAAAGAAGAGAAGCAGCUGGCGCCAGGGCAAGAAGGCAGCUUGUGGCUGCGGUGCAUGCGCCGACGUGAGGCUCAGGUUGGGCCUGCUGGCCGUCCACCCAGGGUUUGGAGCCUCCUUGGGUAAGAAGAGGCACCCAGAUACCAUCCACAAAUGUGUGAAUCCCAGCUGCUUCAGAAACAAAAUCAAGGCGACGAAGAAACUUUGGAAUCAUAAAAGGUAGCCUCCGUAACAAGAAAGUGAACUCCUUGAAGAAAACCAGUUGUGACAGGUAAAAAGGAAAACCAGCUCCAAAUGGGAUCAUGUUUUAUUCAGGAUUUGUGCUGCCGGUGGGGAAGGCCAGAACUCGGUGUCAGGAUGGGAAAGUGGGACGCCCCAACUUCAAGACUCCAUCCACUCGGCCACGAAGUGCUUCUCACUUCACUGAGCUCAGCUCCUGGGACCUCUAAUGGCCCUUGAUAGCAAACAUAGUUAAAAAUUAACCGACUGACAGAAUUAAAUAUGGAUGACAAGCAGCCACUGUGGACUUAAUCUGACACAGGGUGUUACACGCCUGGGUGCCCUUGACCCGAGCCGCAUCUUGAGUGAACUUGUGGGAUGUCUGAGCACAUUUCACAUGCCUGUUUGGAAGCAAGAGCCUCAUUUGUGCUUCGGACAGACAGAGUCUAAAAGCCCCAGAGAGAAAAUUAUCCCUGCAGGCUCAUGUUUAAUUAAGUCCAGCUUGAUUGGGCUUAGCUGGAGAUGUUCACAGUCCUGGGCUCAGCCUUUAGCACGGUCCCACCACUGUUCAGCCUGGGAGAUCGUGUGAGGUCAUGGGGCUGGGCUGGGCUACCUGGGCCAGGAUGUUCUUGCUCAGGUGGCUCAGGUGUCAGACUUAACCUUUGGGCCAGUUCACAUAAAUCCUGACUUUUUGUGUGGAUAAUGGCAGCCAGCUUGUUCAGUUGCCCUGGGCCAGAAAUAGUAGGUGCUAGGAAAGAAUGCUGAUUGCAGUCUGUGCCCUCCAGGUCUGCUCAGAAAGAGUCUGUGGGGAUGGAUGUUCCUUAAAGAGUGCGCCUCUUGAGGUAGAGAAGGACCUGGAAAGUGUUCUGGGUUUGGUGAGUGCUUUAUUAGCAAUGGGGAGGGUUGCUAUUUAAAAGAAUUCCUAAAAUUAGUUCCAUAGACAGGAUCAUCUUUUUUGAAUUGCCGAUCAUCACUCCAGUCCAUCUGGUGAGUUUGGAUUUUCUUAGGCCAAAGGAUGCUUCUGGCUUGGUAGCCUCUCUCAGCCUGGCCACCUGCAACAAAGUUUGCUGAGGCACUUGACGUGCUUUAUUUGGUGGUGCUGCUCAAGAGCAGACCCUUAGAUUUGGAGGCAGUGGGGCAGGCUUGAUUAUUAUUAAAUAAUAUGGUGGCCAUUAGCUCAAUCCUGGAAAAGGUCUGGCAGGGCAUUCAGGCCUCCUUCUUGGGGACAGUGGUAGAAACCUACCUAAGAACAUCCAGGUCUUAAAGGAGGCUGCAGGGGGAGUUCCCAUGGUGGCUCUGUGAGAAUGCGGGUUUGAUCCCUGGCUUCUCUCAGUGGGUUAAGGAUCCAGCAUUGCCACCAGCUGCAUUGUAGUUUGCAGAUGUGGCUCAGAUCUGGUGUUGCUGUGGCGAAGGCCAGCAGCUGCAGCUCCAAUUAGACUGCUAGCCUGGGAACUUCCAUGUGCCGUGGGUGCAGCUGCAAAAAGAGAAAAGCAAAAGGAGAGAGAGUUUGGUUCGAAGUAUGGUGCUGGGAAAUCUGCAUUCAGGUACAGUACCUGCAGGCGGCAGGGUAGAAAAUCUUCACUGCUCCUUACAGAUUAAACAUCCAGGGUGCUGGCUGGUCCGGUGAUCUUCCAGCUCUAAUUAGUUUUGUUAAAAGCUGAGAACUUGGAUGCCCUGCCUCAGCCUUCUGGAUCCUCCAUAUGUCCUCACCAGAAGCGCCCUUCCAGACCAGCAUUUCUCAACAGCCACAGGCACUAAUAGCUCUUAUGCGAUAACACAGAUUCUGGAGUUCCCGUUGUGGCUCAGCGGUAAUGAACCCAACUCACAUCCAUGAGGAUGUGGGCUUGAUCCCUGGCCUUGCACAGUGGGUUAAGGAUCCAGCGUUGCCAUGAACUGUGGUGUAGGUCACAGACUUGGCUUGGAUCCCACAUGGUCGUUGCUGUGGGAAGAAAAUAGCUGAACCAAUGGAUGUUUAUUAAUAGUAUCUCCAUGUCCUGAGGCAGCCACCUGGUAAGCACUUCUCAUGACUGUUUCUAAAAGCAGUUGGAUGAUGGGAGUUGUCGCUGGCAAGGGGGUAGUACCAUGCAAAUUACUACUCUUGGAGCUUUCCCCUGUACUCCUCACAGACCAUUGUAGAAGGACUAGUGAUCAGACAGGGCUUCCUCCCUGGAGUGCAUUCAGUGUCUUCCUGUCCUUGGCCCUGCUACUAGGGAUGUGAAGUUAAUAGGUAUUUUAACCCUCUGGGCCUUGGUUUCCUCAUCGGUAAAUGGAAGAGGGUGGAAAUUAUCUGUAUGGGUACCUACUCCUUUUUCUAACAUUCCACUUCACUUCUGUUCUGAGUGAUUUCUUUUCCUGGCUGCUCUCCUCCUGUUCCAUCUGUCACCAGUCAUCGGAGCUGGUACCAUGCUAAGGUGUUGGAGACUUCAGGCUUAACACUGUGGGGCCACUGCAUCUGAAAGGAAUAUUCCUGAAGAAGUGGGACGGUGGGUCUCAAACAGUGCCCUUGGCUAGUGAGUUGUAGCAGUAAUAGCUGUCAGCAUCUCAUCCUCGUGGAGAAGCAUCCCAGUCUCUUCCAUGUUGCUUAUUCAUGCUUUUGUCACAAAUCUGUGUGGCGAGCUUAGCAGUCUCUGGACACAGUCAAUGUCUGUAUGUAUGAGUUUGGAUCAUAUAUAUUAUGUUAGAGGUUCUAGCAGGGACUUCAGAAGCCUCCAGAAGUGCUUGCAAGGUUGUGAUCAUGCAGGUGUGUGUGUGGUGUGUGUGUCGAGCACACGUGGGUUAUUCCGCAGACGGGACCAUUGCCUUACAAGGAAGGCCAGCCACGUAGAUUUCAUCCCUGCCAAAUUGUCCCUGGAGCCAGAGUCCGACAAUCGCGGGUUUCCUCGGUGUUUAGGACACAGCUCAAGCAGCCCCUAGGCAGUGGGCAGGAGUGGCCACGAGUGACCCGAGGCCAAAAUCCACCACGGAACAGGCAGUCUGAGCGGGUGUAAGGCUGAACCUCGUUUCUCUUAGAGGGCAGCAGUUAUGAGACCAGAAGGGCUUGUUCCCCAGGGCGGGCCGCCGGCUCAGGUUUUGCCCCCUGAGCUCUGGGUCUCUGUCCCCUGCACAUGCGUAGGAACAUAGCGCACUAGGCCGCCUGCUUUCCGCAGGGAGGUGGGCGUGGCUGUGUCUUGUGAGCUGGACCCAGGCGGCCUAGGGUGGCUGUGGCAGGCAGCAGGCACAGAAGUGUCCAAGCCAGGCGGCACAAGAGGGAUGGGUUUCGGGGUCUGACUUUACUCCGUUGCCACCACAUCCUUCUUGAGCAUCAGCCAGCCAGCCGGCUUGCAUUCACCCGGAGGUCACCCCGAGGCACAGGUCCCCCUCCCUCCCCCAGGCAGGGGCACCCAGGAAGGAGUGAGGACUGUGUGUGAGUGGACCAGGCCAGAGAGGCUGGAGCAGAUGCGCGGGAGACAAGGGCUUCCUUCUUGCAGUCACUGCACCGAAACAACCAUGGCAUCCACUCCGCGGCUCUCCUCUCCCCGUGUCUCCUCUGAAACACCAAGUGUCUUGGCCUCCUUGGGCUCAGCGCCCCAGCCCCACACCUAGGCAGCACCAGCCGCACCACCGCGCUCCCCCUACCCUGGUGCACACGCACCCAUCCCCCCCUCCACUGUGUGUUUAGGUUCCCAGCCCCCCACCUGCCACAGGGCCGUGCCCCCGCCCUCUCCUUUCCCACCUGUCUCAGGAAGGCAGCUCCAACUCUGCCCUUUGCUUAGUGAGCUCGUGGAUUCAGAUGCACAAGGCCAUAAGCCGGGGAUGCGCUGGCUCCCUCCGUCCGAGGCUACUUCUCAGGGCUGGAAGUCCCGUCAGUUCUGCUGAAUACUGUGUUCCAGGUGUGUGAUGGUGGCUGCAAUCUGUCUUGUGGGUAUUAACUCGAUCUUCAAGUGGCUACUGUUCUUGAGCUGUUCUACAAAACUGGAGCGUGCUGGCUUGAAAAAACCUUGCCCAGUUUUGACCCCUUCAAGACUUUGCCACAGCCUCUAUCACACAUCUGUUUUUCUCGAAGAAAAAAUAUAAUAAAAAGUUUUACUCUUUUACACUGUAUAAUUGUAAGAAAUAGUGUGUUAUUUGUGAACGCAUGGUCUGACAUACAUUUCUGUACAGUUUGGAGAUAUUUUCAAAUGAAACAUAAAAGAUGUCAA